rnacentral:rRNA from 1 species
CCUACGGGAUGCAGCAGUGGGGAAUAUUGGACAAUGGGCGAAAGCCUGAUCCAGCCAUGCCGCGUGUGUGAAGAAGGCCUUCGGGUUGUAAAGCACUUUCAGUGGGGAAGAAAGCCUUGGGGCUAAUACCCUCGAGGAAGGACAUCACCCACAGAAGAAGCACCGGCUAACUCCGUGCCAGCAGCCGCGGUAAUACGGAGGGUGCGAGCGUUAAUCGGAAUUACUGGGCGUAAAGCGCGCGUAGGCGGUCUGAUAAGCCGGUUGUGAAAGCCCCGGGCUCAACCUGGGAACGGCAUCCGGAACUGUCAGGCUAGAGUGCAGGAGAGGAAGGUAGAAUUCCCGGUGUAGCGGUGAAAUGCGUAGAGAUCGGGAGGAAUACCAGUGGCGAAGGCGGCCUUCUGGACUGACACUGACGCUGAGGUGCGAAAGCGUGGGUAGCAAACAGGAUUAGAUACCCGGGUAGUC